rnacentral:rRNA from 1 species
UAGGGAAUCUUCCGCAAUGGGCGAAAGCCUGACGGAGCAACGCCGCGUGAGUGAUGAAGGUCUUCGGAUCGUAAAACUCUGUUAUCAGGGAAGAACAAAUGUGUAAGUAACUGUGCACAUCUUGACGGUACCUGAUCAGAAAGCCACGGCUAACUACGUGCCAGCAGCCGCGGUAAUACGUAGGUGGCAAGCGUUAUCCGGAAUUAUUGGGCGUAAAGCGCGCGUAGGCGGUUUUUUAAGUCUGAUGUGAAAGCCCACGGCUCAAACGUGGAGGGUCAUUGGAAACUGGAAAACUUGAGUGCAGAAGAGGAAAGUGGAAUUCCAUGUGUAGCGGUGAAAUGCGCAGAGAUAUGGAGGAACACCAGUGGCGAAGGCGACUUUCUGGUCUGUAACUGACGCUGAUGUGCGAAAGCGUGGGGAUCAAACA